rnacentral:rRNA from 1 species
ACACGUAGGAUGCAAGCGUUAUUCGGAUUUACUGGGCGUAAAGCGCGUGUAGGCGGUUGGGAUAGUUGGAUGUGAAAGCUCCCGGCUUAACUGGGAGAGGUCGUUCAAAACUUCCCAACUAGAGUUUGGUAGAGGAAAAUGGAAUUCCGGGUGUAGUGGUGAAAUGCGUAGAUAUCCGGAGGAACACCAGUGGCGAAAGCGUAUUUUCUGGACCGAUACUGACGCUCAGACGCGAAAGCUAGGGUAGC